GACGAACGCUGGCGGCGUGCUUAACACAUGCAAGUCGUACGGUAAGGCCCUUUCGGGGGUACACGAGUGGCGAACGGGUGAGUAACACGUGAGUAACCUGCCCACAACUUUGGGAUAACGCUAGGAAACUGGUGCUAAUACUGGAUAUGUGCUCCUGCUGCAUGGUGGGGGUUGGAAAGCUCCGGCGGUUGUGGAUGGACUCGCGGCCUAUCAGCUUGUUGGUGGGGGAGUGGCCUACCAAGGCGGCGACGGGCAGCCGGCCUGAGAGGGUGACCGGCCACAUUGGGACUGAGAUACGGCCCAGACUCCUACGGGAGGCAGCAGUGGGGAAUAUUGCACAAUGGGCGCAAGCCUGAUGCAGCAACGCCGCGUGCGGGAUGACGGCCUUCGGGUUGUAAACCGCUUUCAGCAGGGACGAAGCUUUUUGUGACGGUACCUGCAGAAGAAGCACCGGCUAACUACGUG
rnacentral:rRNA from 1 species